rnacentral:rRNA from 1 species
GAUUGAACGCUGGCGGCAGGCCUAACACAUGCAAGUCGAGCGGAUGAAGGGAGCUUGCUCCUGGCUUCAGCGGCGGACGGGUGAGUAAUGCCUAGGAAUCUGCCUGGUAGUGGGGGAUAACGUCCGGAAACGGGCGCUAAUACCGCAUACGUCCUGAGGGAGAAAGUGGGGGAUCUUCGGACCUCACGCUAUCAGAUGAGCCUAGGUCGGAUUAGCUAGUUGGUGGGGUAAAGGCCUACCAAGGCGACGAUCCGUAACUGGUCUGAGAGGAUGAUCAGUCACACUGGAACUGAGACACGGUCCAGACUCCUACGGGAGGCAGCAGUGGGGAAUAUUGGACAAAGGGCGAAAGCCUGAUCCAGCCAUGCCGCGUGUGUGAAGAAGGUCUUCGGAUUGUAAAGCACUUUAAGCUGGGAGGAAGGGCAGUAAGUUAAUACCUUGCUGUUUUGACGUUACCAACAGAAUAAGCACCGGCUAACUUCGUG